AAGUACCGAUUUAUCCUACCCCGAGUACUGUAUUAGUAACCCUGAAAAAAAAAAUAUAUGUAAAGGAAAACCAGGAUGUUCAUGUUGUUGCCACUAACUAAAAUUCAUUUUUAAAAAUACAUCUUUAUAAAUAAUAGGUAAAUAAAAUAUAAUUAAUUUCCAAAAAUUAAAAUAUUUCAAUUCCUUUAUACAUUAUUAGUGCUACUACUUUUACUCAAUUAAUAUAUCCUGUAUUUCACAUUAAAAAAUCUUUACCAGUCUGACAGAAUUUAUUCCUUAAAUAAUAUUAUGGGAGAGUGAGAUUAGUUAAUACAAUUUGAAAAUUUUUAUUAUUUUUAUAAUGGCCGUAAGUCUAUUUUUUAAGGUUACAUCCUAUACAGUAGCAUAUUUUACUAAUAAUUAUAUUUUUUUUUUCACACAAUAUAUAGUAUUAAAUUUGUUCAUUUAAAAUUUUACAACAGCAUCAUGGCAUGGUAAGUAGUUACAUUCUAUGGGUUAAUUGUUACACUAUAGAUUACGUGUAAAUGCUUACUUUAAUCAUAUACCGAUAUAGCGAAAAAUAGAUUGUAUUUAACAAAUUGUAAUCAAUAGUAAUGACUUAAAAAUCCAAUGUACAGAUGUUUUAAAAACCUUGUGUUAUUAUUUUUAAUAAAUAUUAAUUUAGCAAACGAACAA